GCCGGGGUGGCGGAAUGGCAGACGCGGCGGACUUAAAAUCCGUUGACCGCAAGGUCGUGUGGGUUCGAGUCCCACCCUCGGUA
rnacentral:tRNA from 1 species